GGCUGUGUAGUGUAGCGGUUAUCACUUCAGAUUCUGAUUGCUUAGAUUUCUGGCGACCCCGGUUCGAUUCCGGGCACGGCCU